rnacentral:rRNA from 1 species
UGGGGAAUUUUGGACAAUGGGCGAAAGCCUGAUCCAGCAAUGCCGCGUGUGUGAAGAAGGCCUUCGGGUUGUAAAGCACUUUUGUCCGGAAAGAAAUCCUUGGCUCUAAUACAGUCGGGGGAUGACGGUACCGGAAGAAUAAGCACCGGCUAACUACGUGCCAGCAGCCGCGGUAAUACGUAGGGUGCAAGCGUUAAUCGGAAUUACUGGGCGUAAAGCGUGCGCAGGCGGUUUGCUAAGACCGAUGUGAAAUCCCCGGGCUCAACCUGGGAACUGCAUUGGUGACUGGCAGGCUAGAGUAUGGCAGAGGGGGGUAGAAUUCCACGUGUAGCAGUGAAAUGCGUAGAGAUGUGGAGGAAUACCGAUGGCGAAGGUAGCCCCCUGGGCCAAUACUGACGCUCAUGCACGAAAGCGUGGGGAGCAAACAGGAUUAGAUACCCUGGUAGUCCACGCCCUAAACGAUGUCAACUAGUUGUUGGGGAUUCAUUUCCUUAGUAACGUAGCUAACGCGUGAAGUUGACCGCCUGGGGAGUACGGUCGCAAGAUUAAAACUUAAAUGAAUUGAC